rnacentral:misc_RNA from 1 species
UACGGAGGGUGCAAGCGUUGUCCGGAUUUAUUGGGUUUAAAGGGUGCGUAGGCGGCCCGUUAAGUCAGCGGUGAAAGUUUCCGGCUCAACCGGGGGACUGCCGAUGAUACUGUCGGGCUUGAGUGUCGAUGGGGUACAUGGAAUUUAUGGUGUAGCGGUGAAAUGCAUAGAUACCAUAAGGAACACCGAUAGCGAAGGCAUUGUACUUAUCGACAACUGACGCUGAGGCACGAAAGCGUGGGGAGCAAACAGG